UACGAAGGGGGCUAGCGUUGUUCGGAAUUACUGGGCGUAAAGCGAGUGUAGGCGGUCCGGUAAGUCCGCUGUGAAAGUCGGGGGCUCAACCCUCGAAUGCCGGUGGAUACUGUCGGGCUAGAGUGCGGAAGAGGCGAGUGGAAUUCCUGGUGUAGCGGUGAAAUGCGCAGAUAUCAGGAGGAACACCUAUUGCGAAGGCAGCUCGCUGGGACGUUACUGACGCUGAGACGCGAAAGCGUGGGGAGCAUACAGG
rnacentral:rRNA from 1 species